rnacentral:rRNA from 1 species
UGGGGAAUCUUGCACAAUGGGGGCAACCCUGAUGCAGCGACGCCGCGUGAGCGAUGAAGCCCUUCGGGGCGUAAAGCUCUUUCGACCGGAACGAUAAUGACGGUACCGGGAGAAGAAGCUGCGGCUAACUACGUGCCAGCAGCCGCGGUAAUACGUAGGGGGCAAGCGUUGUCCGGAUUUACUGGGUGUAAAGGGCGCGCAGGCGGGAUAAAAAGUCAGUGGUGAAAUCCUACAGCUUAACUGUAGAACUGCCUUUGAUACUUUUAUUCUUGAGUUCGGGAGAGGGAGACGGAAUUCCAGGUGUAGUGGUGAAAUACGUAGAUAUCUGGAAGAACACCAGUUGCGAAGGCGGUCUCUUGGUCCGACACUGACGCUGAGGCGCGAAAGCGUGGGGAGCAAACA